AGGGUUUGAUUAUGGCUCAGGACGAACGCUGGCGGCGUGCUUAACACAUGCAAGUCGAACGAGAAUCUAUGGAAAGAGGAUUCGUCCAAUUGAAAUAGAGGACAGUGGCGGACGGGUGAGUAACGCGUGAGGAACCUGCCUUUCAGAGGGGGACAACAGUUGGAAACGACUGCUAAUACCGCAUAACGCGUAGAGGUCGCAUGGCCUUUACGCCAAAGAUUUAUCGCUGAAAGAUGGCCUCGCGUCUGAUUAGCUAGUUGGUGAGGUAACGGCCCACCAAGGCGACGAUCAGUAGCCGGACUGAGAGGUUGAACGGCCACAUUGGGACUGAGAUACGGCCCAG
rnacentral:rRNA from 1 species